UCGACAAUGCAAAUUUCUUUCACCAUCCAAAAACAAUAAAGAGAACAUGGAACUAGAGAAAGAUCAACAUCUUCCAAAAAACACACCAAAGGCUUCAUAAACAGCAGCAAACAACGCCAGCUGAACCUGUUACUUCAUAUUGAGCUGAAAUCAAACCCAGAAAAACCCGAGAGCAAAGAGACCUGCAUCAGACACGUCACAACCCACGACUGCUAAAAGACCUCGAAUCAAUGCUGCACAGCACAAACACAACAAAACACAAUCCCUCAUCGCUUGUGCAUUGGAAACUCUUCAUGAUGCCAGUUAUGAUUUAUUAUCUACUAACUGGGUUUCUGCACUACUUAAAGGGAGUUGUAAACUUCCUGGUCUGACAGAUGAGGAAAAAUCGGUCACAUCUGUGUUUUGUGUAAACAAGUGCCUAACAGAGACGUUUCUGACAGUCAUUUUGGACAAGAUCAAGGCAGAGAAAA